UUUCAGUUUUGUUUUUUUUUUCAUAAUAUAAAAUAUCGAAAAUUAAAAAUAGUCUAACGAUUUAUAAAUAAUUGAAUUCGACUGUGAUUUUGAGUUAGUUUGAGGAAAUUUUAAAUAAUUUAAAGUUUAUUUUUUAAUUACUACAAAAUAUCAGUACUGGCAACCCUGCAUUGUGAAAGAUUCGAGAGUGAGAAGUGGCCGACUCUUCGCUACGGGAAAAAUCCUAAUGACUAAAAUAUCUACGGUAGCGUACGGUAGUAGCGGUGAUGACUGUUCAUUUACAUUGAAAUCUCAUACGACAGGUCGUUUUGGCUCUCUCCGUAUACGGGUUUACGUCGUUCACUGUUUGAACUGAUACUCGUAUUACGGUAUUUCGAAACAUUGCAAAUCUCUGUUAGAAUACACUGAAUCACUUAUGAUGCCUUUGAAUUGCUUUCCAUCCCUCAAUGUAGACGUAUUCUUCACCAAACCCAACUAGGAGCAAAAAAAGCGAAAUGAAGACUGAGCCCAAGCUGCGCAACUCGCUGGAAAUGUUUCGCUUUGUUUCGCUUUGUUUCCAUUAUUUUGCUGUAUUAAAUUUUAAUUUUUCAAAACGUAUUUGAUUUUAUUCGCGCUAACAACGCAGGACAAACGAACAAGAGAUGCUCCACUAUUUCCUUGGCUACCAUUAACUUGAAUGGAGCCUUCGUAGUAUAUCUCCAUUGGAAUCGCAUAGUAAGCUGUGGAUCUUUAUCGUUUGCGCAAAUGAUGAUACGACCAACAGAAAAUUGCAUUAAACGCUUGAUGUUGAGCGAUUUAAAUCGAUGUGUCUAAAGAAAUAUUAACAAACAAGCACGUAAUAUUAAAAAUUCAUAUUUAUAGAAGGUGUAUUCAAAAUA